UACGGAGGGUGCGAGCGUUGUCCGGAAUCAUUGGGCGUAAAGGGCGCGUAGGUGGCGGCUUAAGCGUGCGGUGAAAAGCUCGGGGGCUCAACCCCCGAGUCGGCCGUGCGAACUGAGUCGCUUGAGCACUGUAGAGGCAGGCGGAAUUCCUGGUGUAGCGGUGGAAUGCGCAGAUAUCAGGAGGAACACCGGUGGCGAAGGCGGGUCUCUGGGCAGUAACUGACGCUGAGGAGCGAAAGCGUGGGGAGCGAACAGG
rnacentral:rRNA from 1 species